rnacentral:rRNA from 1 species
GACGAACGCUGGCGGCGUGCCUAAUACAUGCAAGUAGAACGCUGAAGGAGGAGCUUGCUUCUCUGGAUGAGUUGCGAACGGGUGAGUAACGCGUAGGUAACCUGCCUGGUAGCGGGGGAUAACUAUUGGAAACGAUAGCUAAUACCGCAUAACAGUAGAUAUCGCAUGAUAUCUACUUGAAAGGUGCAAUUGCAUCACUACCAGAUGGACCUGCGUUGUAUUAGCUAGUUGGUGAGGUAACGGCUCACCAAGGCGACGAUACAUAGCCGACCUGAGAGGGUGAUCGGCCACAAUGGGACUGAGACACGGCCCAGACUCCUACGGGAGGCAGCAGUAGGGAAUCUUCGGCAAUGGACGGAAGUCUGACCGAGCAACGCCGCGGGAGUGAAGAAGGUUUUCGGAUCGUAAAGAUCUGUUGUAAGAGAAGAACGAGUGUGAGAGUGGAAAGUUCACACUGUGACGGUAUCUUACCAGAAAGGGACGGCUAACUACGUG